ensembl:lncRNA
AUGAGAGAUUCGGUCUAGACAACAACAGAUCUGUAGCCCAACUAGAUGAAUGUUGUGUACAGCUCCUCUGGAGGCGGUUUGGACAACAGCUGUCUACCUCUCUCGUGUAAAUGUUGAGACGGGGAAUGCAUUUCUCUCUGCGAUCUCAUGACCGUUAUUAAACUGAGAUUUUAAGAAAUAUUGAAAGAAAACUGUACUCUCUUUCAUUAGAAACAAAUUGGAGGCAGAUGGGCUCCCCUUUAGUGAUAGUGAUGUGCUGAUUGGUUUUUAUUGUAGAGUAAGACAGGAAGUUACGGGAGAGAGAGGGGAAGACAUGCAGCAACGGACCACGGGCAGGUAUCGUACCCCGGAGGACUGCGGCCCUUCAUCUGUCCCCGUGGGUCCAGUAGUCCAACCAAACGUCUGUUUAGAGAGAGACAGUGGUCACAACCUUCUCCCGGUCAGCAGGACUUUUUGGGGCACAGCGCCGUAAACCCAGAAGGAGAGUUCAUAACCCCGUCGGCAUGUACCCCCGGAGAAGAGGGGAGAGAAGAGGGGAAAACAUGAAAAGAGAGGCAGAAGGGUGGGCGAAAGAGGACAUUCAAGGAAAGAGGAAAAAACAACAGGAGCCGUUCAGUCUGUACAGUCCUGCUCCAGUUUUCACCCGUCAAACAAAGAGCUGGCGGUUAGGUUUCUCUCCGCCCCCCCCAUUUCUCUGUCUCUCUUUUUGCUGUCCCUCUCUCUCUUUCUCUGUCUUUUUCUCCUUUUGUAC